UGUGCCAGCAGCCGCGGUAAUUCCAGCUCCAAUAGCGUAUAUUAAAGUUGUUGCGGUAAAAAAGCUCGUAGUUGGAUUUCUGUUGAAGACGUCCGGUCCAUACCACGUAUGCGCAUCUGGCUCGGCUUCGGCAUCCUCUCGAAAGACGUUUCUGCGCUUGAUUGCGUGGAGCGGAUCUCGGGACUUUUACUUUGAGGAAAUUAGAGUGUUCACGGCAGGCUAUCGCCAGAAUACAUUAGCAUGGAAUAAUACUAUAGGAUCUCGGUUCUAUUUUGUUGGUUUCUAGAAUUGAGAUAAUGAUUAAUAGGGACAAUUGGGGGCAUUCGUAUCAACACGUUAGAGGUGAAAUUCUUGGAUCGUGUUGCGACGAACUACUGCGAAAGCAUUUGCCAAGGAUGUUUUCAUUGAUCAAGAACGAAAGUAAGGGGAUCGAAGACGAUUAGAUACCGUCGUAGUCUUUACCAUAAACUAUGCCAACUAGAGAUGGGACAUCGUUCACUUAAGACUUGUUCCGCACCUUAUGAGAUAUCAAAGUCUUUGGGUUCCGGGGGGAGUAUGGUCGCAAGUCUGAAACUUAAAGGAAUUGACGGAAGGGCACCACCAGGAGUGGAGCCUGCGGCUUAAUUUGACUCAACACGGGGAAACUCACCAGGUCCAGACAUAAUAAGGAUUGACAGAUUGAUAGCUCUUUCUUGAUUUUAUGGGUGGUGGCGCAUGGCCGUUCUUAGUUCGUGGAGUGAUUUGUCUGCUUAAUUGCGUUAACGAACGAGACCUUAACCUGCUAAAUAGGAGCGCCUAUCUCCGGAUAAGCGCCUUUCUUCUUAGAGGGACUUUAUGCGUUUCAGCAUGAGGAAGUUUGAGGCUAAAACAGGUCUGUGAU
rnacentral:rRNA from 1 species